CCUACGGGUGGCAGCAGUGGGGAAUAUUGGGCAAUGGGCGAAAGCCUGACCCAGCAACGCCGCGUGAAGGAAGAAGGCUUUCGGGUUGUAAACUUCUUUUGACAGGGAAGAGCAGAAGACGGUACCUGUCGAAUAAGCCACGGCUAACUACGGGCCAGCAGCCGCGGUAAUACGUAGGUGGCAAGCGCUGUCCGGAUUUACUGGGUGUAAAGGGCGUGUAGUCGGGCUGACAAGUCAGAUGCGAAAACCGCGGGCUCAACCCCCGAACUGCAUUUGAAACUGGUUGUCUUGAGUAUCGGAGAGGGAGGCGGAAUUCCUGGUGUAGCGGUGAAAUGCGUAGAGAGUAGGAGGAACACCGGUGGCGAAGGCGGCCUACUGGACGACAACUGACGGUGAGGCGCGAAAGCGUGGGGAGCAAACAGGAUUAGAUACCCCAGUAGUC
rnacentral:rRNA from 1 species